AGAGUUUGAUCAUGGCUCAGAUUGAACGCUGGCGGCAGGCCUAACACAUGCAAGUCGAACGGUAACAGGAAGCAGCUUGCUGCUUCGCUGACGAGUGGCGGACGGGUGAGUAAUGUCUGGGAAACUGCCUGAUGGAGGGGGAUAACUACUGGAAACGGUGGCUAAUACCGCAUAACGUCGCAAGACCAAAGAGGGGGACCUUCGGGCCUCUUGCCAUCAGAUGUGCCCAGAUGGGAUUAGCUUGUUGGUGAGGUAACGGCUCACCAAGGCGACGAUCCCUAGCUGGUCUGAGAGGAUGACCAGCCACACUGGAACUGAGACACGGUCCAGACUCCUACGGGAGGCAGCAGUGGGGAAUAUUGCACAAUGGGCGCAAGCCUGAUGCAGCCAUGCCGCGUGUAUGAAGAAGGCCUUCGGGUUGUAAAGUACUUUCAGCGGGGAGGAAGGUGUUGUGGUUAAUAACCGCAGCAAUUGACGUUACCCGCAGAAGAAGCACCGGCUAACUCCGUGCCAGCAGCCGCGGUAAUACGGAGGGUGCAAGCGUUAAUCGGAAUUACUGGGCGUAAAGCGCACGCAGGCGGUCUGUCAAGUCGGAUGUGAAAUCCCCGGGCUCAACCUGGGAACUGCAUUCGAAACUGGCAGGCUUGAGUCUUGUAGAGGGGGGUAGAAUUCCAGGUGUAGCGGUGAAAUGCGUAGAGAUCUGGAGGAAUACCGGUGGCGAAGGCGGCCCCCUGGACAAAGACUGACGCUCAGGUGCGAAAGCGUGGGGAGCAAACAGGAUUAGAUACCCUGGUAGUCCACGCCGUAAACGAUGUCUACUUGGAGGUUGUGCCCUUGAGGCGUGGCUUCCGGAGCUAACGCGUUAAGUAGACCGCCUGGGGAGUACGGCCGCAAGGUUAAAACUCAAAUGAAUUGACGGGGGCCCGCACAAGCGGUGGAGCAUGUGGUUUAAUUCGAUGCAACGCGAAGAACCUUACCUGGUCUUGACAUCCACGGAAGUUUUCAGAGAUGGAUUGGUGCCUUCGGGAACCGUGAGACAGGUGCUGCAUGGCUGUCGUCAGCUCGUGUUGUGAAAUGUUGGGUUAAGUCCCGCAACGAGCGCAACCCUUAUCCUUUGUUGCCAGCGGUCCGGCCGGGAACUCAAAGGAGACUGCCAGUGAUAAACUGGAGGAAGGUGGGGAUGACGUCAAGUCAUCAUGGCCCUUACGACCAGGGCUACACACGUGCUACAAUGGCGCAUACAAAGAGAAGCGACCUCGCGAGAGCAAGCGGACCUCAUAAAGUGCGUCGUAGUCCGGAUUGGAGUCUGCAACUCGACUCCAUGAAGUCGGAAUCGCUAGUAAUCGUGGAUCAGAAUGCCACGGUGAAUACGUUCCCGGGCCUUGUACACACCGCCCGUCACACCAUGGGAGUGGGUUGCAAAAGAAGUAGGUAGCUUAACCUUCGGGAGGGCGCUUACCACUUUGUGAUUCAUGACUGGGGUGAAGUCGUAACAAGGUAACCGUAGGGGAACCUGCGGUUG
rnacentral:rRNA from 1 species